AGCGUGCUGUUAAAAUCACCGUCCCUGCGUGGCGUCGUUCAGUGAUCGUGAAUGUUAUUCACGGUAUAUAAUAUUAAUAUUUGAGGCUAGAUUACACCUCUAAUGCUAAGGACCCAUCGAGACCGGUCAUCCCGAAGGGGGACCGACUGCGCCACGGACGGACUGGGCGAGCGGAACUGACGUGUGGCUUUUAGUAAACAUCCGGUUCUUUAACUCGGGGCUGCGUAAUAACCACCGAGCGCUUGGAAGACAAACGAUGUCAUCUUCCUUCUGUCAGGAGGAUCCAAGUGAAGCUACAGGAGUUUCAUUAACGUCAACAACUUGGACCGAACACUUUGUUUUGCUUGAUGAAGAGCAGGAAGGGCAGCCUGGAGAGAAAGAGAAGCCGGGUUGAGCCCACUACCAUCAUCCAUGUACCACGAGGAAGAUGAGGGAGAGAAAUUAUCCUACCAUUAAAGAGACUGUGAAAAGAACGUUGAGAACAUCACCACUCUACAGGAAGACACAGUCCAGUAAUGGGUGUCAGAAGUUCAGUAGUGAACGACGGGCAGUACUGAUGCAUUUACUGAGACGGGACGUGAGGGCCUACUCUGCGUGCUCAGAGUUCAAGCCCAGCAGGCUGCAGCGGGCCUGACAUAUUCCGGAACAGCAGCACAGUCUUUGGAUGACUCCUCUGAAGAGGAAAAGAUGGCGAGGACUGCCUUGAGAUCCUCCAGGAGGAGCUGGAAAACGCCUGGGAAGAUGGACGUCUGGGCGAUACUUUGCUUGACCUACUGCCAUCCCAGCCCCGGUUAGGCAACAGAAAAUGGAAAGAUGGAUGGACUGAUGGAUUGAUGGAUGGAUGGAUGCUGAAAUUCUUUGUCAGUAAAAGAACAUUGAGUUCUAGCAGCGAUUAGGUCCUUUGUGAGUGGCAGAGCUCCAUCCACAGCACCAGAUAUCAGGGUGGAGACCUAGAGUCCCAGACAGGGCACGGUCCGUUCCCUUUAAUUAAACAUGACAACCACAUUGUGUGUGUGGGUGUGUGUGAGUGUGUGUGUGCAGUUCCUGGAACAUAAUUAUGCCAGGGCAAAAUAUUUAUGAGUUUUCCGAGAAUAUUCUUAAAUAUUUGUUACCAAGAAUGAUCUUUUCAUCUGACUGCGUCAUGAUAAUUGAAAUGUAUUUUCAUUACUAUUUAUCAUGUGCUCUGGAGUUGGAACAACCUAAAGCCAUUUAUAAGACCACCUCCUAAGACAGAUUUACAUUCCGCAAAGGUGAUGUUUAUUUCUCCUGUUCAAAUUUUUCUUUUUAAUUAGAUAAAAUAGCAUUUAUUAAAUCCAGCUGCAUGGAAGCUUUCUCCAUCAACAUAAAUCAGCCAACAUUAAAUUUAUCACAGCAAUAUGUGGUGCACAGUUUGCUUUCCAAAUCCAAUUCAUAUAAAUUAUUUAGCACUUAUGUUUGGAACUUUUUGAUUUCACAUCAUUGUGUUGCAAAUAUGAAUUGAAACUCCUUUUUGUAAAUAAUAUAAAGCAUUAUAAAUGAGUACCGUUUUUAAGCCCAAUAUUGACUUUAAAUUAUUGAAAUAAACUACAUAGGUCACGUAAUGGUUAUUUGUUUGCCACAGCUGAAGCAGCAUUGGUUUUAAGAUUUGAUGGACCUCAUGCAUAAAUGAAUCAAAUCAUCUGCCUUCUUUUUAAAGAUUUUCACCAGCUCUCUUCAUCCAUUAAACAUGUAAGUAUUGUUUGUAUGUAUUGGUUUUUCACUGGUUAUGUCCAUGUUUCCAGCCUAAGAACAUAGUGAAUUAAAUAUUGCACUACAUGUGUAACAGGAACAGUGCCUAAAAUACAAAAGGGAAAGGAGAGGGGCUUGACUGAAUGAGCAGCGACAUCUCAUCAAGUAUAGAAAUCUCGAGGAUUCAGACAGAGGUCAGGUGCAUUACUUUACCCUCAUAUCCUGUUGGGAUCAAAACAGACCCAUUUUUAAAUUUAGAUGUGUGAAAGAUAUCGUCAUUUUUCUGAUCAAAACACAGCUUUGUUGCCUCCUCAACAAUCACCUGCUGAAUACAAGACAACACAUCAGUGCUGCCAGAUGUUGAAAUGUCUUAUCAUAUUAAUAGUACCAUUCAGCCUUUUCCUACCUGAAACAUCAUACCCACGGAACUAUGGAACAUAUAAUGUCCCUCCCCAAUUGUUUGUGUGUAAGUGUGUCUUAUUGUAGCCUGUAUAUGCUUUUGGUUGAGUCUUUAAAUGGUUUUACUUCUUAUCUGUAGUGCCUUCCAUCUGCUAUGUGCCUUUGUUCGUGUUUUCAUAUGUCAUAGAGUUAUGUCAUUGCUUUAGUAAUUUAUGCAAAGUGACUUUGUAAGUACUUCUGAGUUCUUUCAAGUUACUUUAUGUUAUAUGUUUUUUGCCAACAACCUGCAAGGGAUUGCAGAUGAAAAAAACAGUUGCCUGGAUAAAUCUGGCACAUUUACAUGCUGGACUUAAGUACACAUGUUGAUUAACGUGCAUUAAAUAAACAUAAUAAUACACAAUACUAUUAACUGUAUUUUUAA